rnacentral:rRNA from 1 species
AGAGUUUGAUCAUGGCUCAGAACGUACGCUGGCGGCACGCCUAACACAUGCAAGUCGAACGAAGUAGCAAUACUUAGUGGCAGACGGGUGAGUAACAUGUAGGUAUCUGCCCUUUGGCCUGGAAUAACACGAGGAAACUUGUGCUAAUACCGGAUAAGUCUUUACGGAGAAAGCUUUAUGCACCAUUGGAUGAGCCUGCACUUGAUUAGUUUGUUGGUGGGGUAAUGGCCUACCAAGACUGUGAUCAAUAGCUGAUUUGAGAGGAUGAUCAGCCACAUUGGGACUGAGAUACGGCCCAAACUCCUACGGGAGGCAGCAGUGGGGAAUCUUGCACAAUGGAGGAAACUCUGAUGCAGCGAUGCCGCGUGAGUGAAGAAGGCCCUUGGGUUGUAAAGCUCUUUCGUCGGGGAAGAAAAUGACUGUACCCGAAUAAGAAGGUCCGGCUAACUUCGUGCCAGCAGCCGCGGUAAUACGAAGGGACCUAGCGUAGUUCGGAAUUACUGGGCUUAAAGAGUUCGUAGGUGGUUGAAAAAGUUGGUGGUGAAAUCCCAGAGCUUAACUCUGGAACUGCCAUCAAAACUUUUCAGCUAGAGUAUGAUAGAGGAAAGCAGAAUUUCUAGUGUAGAGGUG